ensembl:lncRNA
CAAUUGACUGGAAAGAAGAGGGGAGCAUGUUGUCAGUCCAGAUGCUGAAGAAUUAAUUUUGUGUUCUGGUGUCUCAGACAAUGGGAAGAUUUCCAUUACAAGUAGAAGAGAAGAGGUAUAUCAUCACGGAAUCACAGAAUAUUUGAAGUUGGAAAGGACCCAUAAAGAUAAUUGUCCAGACAUUUAUUGAACUCUGCUUGCUCUGGGCUGUGACCACUGCCUAGGGGAGCGUGUUCCAGUGCCCAUCAACUGUCUUAGUGAAGAACCUUCUUCUGAUAUCCAACCUGAACUUCCACUGUGACAGUUUCAUGGCAUUCACUGAAGUUUUAUCACUGGUCAAUAUUAGUAUUAAAGACUGUAUUUAGU